rnacentral:rRNA from 1 species
AACGAACGCUGGCGGCAGGCUUAACACAUGCAAGUCGAACGCAUCGCAAGAUGAGUGGCAGACGGGUGAGUAACGCGUGGGAACAUACCCUUUUCUACGGAAUAGCUCUGGGAAACUGGAAUUAAUACCGUAUACGCCCUACGGGGGAAAGAUUUAUCGGGGAAGGAUUGGCCCGCGUUGGAUCAGCUAGUUGAUGGGGUAAAGGCCUACCAAGGCGACGAUCCAUAGCUGGUCUGAGAGGAUGAUCAGCCACAUUGGGACUGAGACACGGCCCAAACUCCUACGGGAGGCAGCAGUGGGGAAUAUUGGACAAUGGGCGCAAGCCUGAUCCAGCCAUGCCGCGUGAGUGAUGAAGGCCUUAGGGUUGUAAAGCUCUUUCACCGAUGAAGAUAAUGACGGUAGUCGGAGAAGAAGCCCCGGCUAACUUCGUGCCAGCCGCCGCGGUAA